UAGGGAAUCUUCCGCAAUGGGCGAAAGCUUGACGGAGCAACGCCGCGUGAGUGAUGAAGGUCUUCGGAUCGUAAAACUCUGUUAUUAGGGAAGAACAAAUGUGUAAGUAACUAUGCACGUCUUGACGGUACCUAAUCAGAAAGCCACGGCUAACUACAUGCCAGCAGCCGCGGUAAUACGUAGGUGGCAAGCGUUAUCCGGAAUUAUUGGGCGUAAAGCGCGCGUAGGCGGUUUUUUAAGUCUGAUGUGAAAGCCCACGGCUCAACCGUGGAGGGUCAUUGGAAACUGGAAAACUUGAGUGCAGAAGAGGAAAGUGGAAUUCCAUGUGUAGCGGUGAAAUGCGCAGAGAUAUGGAGGAACACCAGUGGCGAAGGCGACUUUCUGGUCUGUAACUGACGCUGAUGUGCGAAAGCGUGGGGAUCAAACAGG
rnacentral:rRNA from 1 species